rnacentral:rRNA from 1 species
CUGAUGGAGAGUUUGAUCCUGGCUCAGGACGAACGCUGGCGGCGUGGAUUAGGCAUGCAAGUCGCGCGACGGCAGGAUUUAUCCUGUACGGAGCGGCGAACGGGUGAGUAACACGUGAACAAUCUGUCCCGACGUUCCGGAUAAUUGGCCGAAAGGCCUUGUAAUACGGGCGAGGGUCGGAGUGGGGCUUCCCACUCCGAAGGAAGGUUAAGGCUUCGGCCUUAGCCGCGCGGGGAGGAGUUCGCGGCCUAUCAGUUAGUUGGUGGGGUAACGGCCUACCAAGACGACGACGGGUAGCUGGUCUGAGAGGAUGGUCAGCCACAUUGGGACUGAGACACUGCCCAGACUCCUACGGGAGGCUGCAGUCGAGAAUCUUGGGCAAUGCACGCAAGUGUGACCCAGCGACGCCGCGUGGAGGAUGAAGGCCCUUGGGUUGUAAACUCCUUUUAUGGGGGAAGAAGCUAUCUUUAUGAUAGUUGACGGUACCCCGUGAAUAAGCCACGGCUAACUACGUGCCAGCAGCCGCGGUAAUACGUAGGUGGCAAGCGUUGUCCGGAUUUACUGGGCGUAAAGGGUAUGCAGGCGGAGAUGUAAGUAGGAAGUGAAAGGUUGGGGCUCAACCCUAACACUGCUCCCUAUACUGGGCGCCUGGAGGGCCGGAGAGGACGAGGGAACGACCCGUGUAGCGGUGAAAUGCGUUGAGAUGGGUCGGAACACCUAUGGCGAAAGCACUCGUCUGGACGGUGGUUGAGGUUUAGCCUUGACCUUAAAUCUGACGCUGAGAUACGAAAGCCAAGGGAGCAAACAGGAUUAGAUACCCUGGUAGUCUUGGCCAUAAACGAUGUUCACUAGGUGUCGGGGUUUAUACCUCGGUGCCGCAGCUAACGCAUUAAGUGAACCGCCUGGGGACUACGGCCGCAAGGUUGAAACUCAAAGGAAUUGGCGGGGGCCCGCACAAGCGGUGGAGCAUGUGGCUUAAUUCGAUGCAACGCGAAGAAC